UUCAACUUUUUAUUCUUCAAAGAAUCCUAAAAAUGUAUUGCGGUUUCCACAAAAAAUCAAUCAGAAUGAUUUCUGAAGCAUCACGUGACACUGAAGACUGGAAUUCUGGCUGCUGAAAAUUCAGCUUUGACGUCACAGGAAUAAAUGACAUUUUAAAAUAUUAAAAAAAUGAUUAAACAGUUAUUUUAAAUUGUAAUAAUAUUUGGCAAUAUUACUGUUUUUAGGUGGCAUAAAAAAGAUCAUGUUAGUAUCAUGUUAAAAUAAUGUCAUACAACAUAGAAGACUCAUAAAUAGUUUGUGUGAAUAAUACAUAUAAUUAAUGUCCAUUAAACUGUAAUCAUGUUUUGUGGCGUCCCCAGAUCUUUUUGUUUGUGUCUUUUUUUUUCUGUUUCAGGAUUGCGUUGAAGUGCUAUCUCUCUCUUCCAGUGGUGGCAGGGGCAUUAUUAGUGGGCCUCCCUUACAGUGUCUCUCUUGUUGCCCAAUGGCUCUAUGGCUGGCCCAAUAAACCAGGGUACCAAAAAUAUAUAGAGGCUUUCAAACCAAGGCGCAUAUACUGCCUUACAAGAGCCGUGCUAGAGAUGCUGAAAUAUCUGCAGUAUGGCAAACUGUACUUUCAAUGGAAACUGUGGUACAGUAAUGACAAAAAUAACAAGCACUAUGUGAAAGGCAUAACCUUUGGUCGGCGAGGGAACAAACUAGAUUUAUACUAUUCACCAAACAUGGGCCAUUCUGAUGCUGCGCCUGUACCAGUGGUUGUAUUUGUGUACGGAGGUGCCUGGGGAUCAGGAGACCGCUCCAUUUACUGUCUGUUAGCCUUACAAAUGGCAAAAGAGCUUAAUGCCUCUGUAAUUUGUCCAGAUUAUUCCAUAUAUCCAAAGGGAAAUGUUUUAAAUAUGGUUCAAGACAUAACUGACAGUUUGCUGUGGGUGAGAGGAAAGGGACAAACAUUCAAUCUUGAUCAAGACAACGUAAUAUUAAUAGGUCAUUCAGCAGGGGCUCAUCUGUGUGCCCUUACCACACUGUUUCUGGUGAACAAUGCAGAUGAACUGUUCCUUGAGACCAACAAACAGAGAGAUCUUGUAUCUGCCAUUAAAGGAAUCAUAGGUUUGAGUGGCGUUUACAGUAUAAUGGAUCAUUAUAAGCAUGAGAAAGUGAGGGCGGUUGAAUAUGUGUCAACUAUGCACAAAGCCAUGGAUGGUGUGGAGAACUUUGAUUAUUAUUCGCCGACAUCAUUACUCAAGAAAUUGAAUGAGGAUCAGUUGAAAAGAGUUCCUCCAGUGGUUUUGCUCCAUGGAACCAAUGACAUCAUAGUUCCCGUGGAAUCAUCAGUGAAGUUCUCGGAGCUCCUCACUGCCCUUUCCAUCAGGAUGUCUCUCUAUCUAAUACCUAAAAUGAACCACACUGAGAUGGUCACUGACCUUAUGGCUCCAGACAGGCACUUUUACCACACUGUUUAUGGCUGUAUUAAACAGGAGUACAGUAAAUUUCAAGGUUAUGUUGAUUAAUAUUUUUCAUUCAAUUCAGUAUUAAUUUCAUUUUCCAGUAUACCAGACAGUCAUUAUUUGUUCUUUAUGAUUUUACUGAAAGUUUACAUUUAAGUUCUAAUGAUUUGUUUUCUUCUGAAAUGUUUAAUUUUUGAUCAAAAAUGUGUUCAAUAACCCAUUAUACAAGAUAGCAAGGUGAAAGAAAACAUAAUAUUAUCUCUGUGCUUGUUAUCGGUUAAGAAAUUCUGUUAAUGUUCAAUGAAAUGUAAAAAAGAAGAGAUUGUUCCAAUUAAGAAUAUACAACAUAUUUUCGUGUUUGAAAUGUAAUAUGGAUGGAGAAAUUCUUAUUUUGCAUUUUUAUAACAUGUGUAAAUUAUUCCAUAAUAUAUUUAUUUAAACCAU
ensembl:lncRNA probable isoprenylcysteine alpha-carbonyl methylesterase ICMEL2